UGCAGAAAAACUCUGUCAUUGAAGUUGAUGUAAGUCUGGCGGAGACCAGUCAGGUGGAAGAAAAGAAUGGAGUUCAAUUGUGGAAGCUAACCCAAUCUUAUGUUAAUGCUGCAAUGAGUUCGUCAAUGGAUGGAAACCAGUUUGUGGGUGUUUGUGGCGGACAUUCUGUACAGUCCCGCCUUGUUGGUCCCUCCUAUGUUGGUAAGAAUCCUCAAGCUUGCAACAGUACCAAGAGGUGGAAGCUGGAGUCAGACAUCGUUCGGACCGAUCGAGAGGAAGCCUCGAAGUGGCCAGAAAAGUGGGCAGAUAAGAAGCAUCGCCUCCGUGAUUCCCGUGGGGGAGACCAGGUCAUCGUCAAACGGCGAUCUGAACUGACUCAGUUUUUGAAGAAGACUUCAAGAUCACUGCCUCGUGAGAGAACGCGAGGGACAAACAGAAGUUCAAGAAGUCCUUGCUAAAGAAGCAAGGAAAAGAAGAAGACCCAUGGGGGGAUACACAAGUUCGUGGUGAAGCAGAGGAGCCUCCUCAUGGAAGAAGCCUGUGGAAGACGUACAAAUCUUCUUAUAGAUUAUGUUGAAGGAGGCGGCGCAAUUCAAUAUGCGAAAGUCAUGAUCCCUUUAAAGCAGACGUUAGGCGCAAAGAAAGAAGCUCAUUAACGAGAAUGAAAGAAUAAUUCACUCAUUAACGAGAAUGAAAGAAUAAUUCACUCAUUAACGAUAAUGAAAGAAUAAUUCUGAUUUCAUCACCUUGUUUUUACGGAGUUCAAUACUAGAUUGAAGACGGAGGGAAAUCCCAGAUUUUGCUAGGUUUUGGGCCUAUAAAGUAGCAAGAAAUCAUGAAAAAUCAGUCAAAAUUAGACAAUUAUCGUAGCAUAUCAAUAUGAGAAAAA